rnacentral:sRNA from 1 species
GUCAACUACCCGGGCUUAAAGCCCAGGCUUGAGGCAUUAGCCUCUUGCUUAGUUGAUAAGCCUCAGCUCUUCAAGAGCUACGUUACAUAGCAAAUAUACUAUAGGCACCCCGGGAUGCUCCACAAGUUCCGGGCA